GACGAACGCUGGCGGCGUGCCUAAUACAUGCAAGUAGAACGCUGAAGGAGGAGCUUGCUCUUCUGGAUGAGUUGCGAACGGGUGAGUAACGCGUAGGUAACCUGCCUGGUAGCGGGGGAUAACUAUUGGAAACGAUAGCUAAUACCGCAUAACAGUAGAUGUUGCAUGACAUUUGCUUAAAAGGUGCAAUUGCACCACUACCAGAUGGACCUGCGUUGUAUUAGCUAGUUGGUGGGGUAACGGCUCACCAAGGCGACGAUACAUAGCCGACCUGAGAGGGUGAUCGGCCACACUGGGACUGAGACACGGCCCAGACUCCUACGGGAGGCAGCAGUAGGGAAUCUUCGGCAAUGGACGGAAGUCUGACCGAGCAACGCCGCGUGAGUGAAGAAGGUUUUCGGAUCGUAAAGCUCUGUUGUAAGAGAAGAACGAGUGUGAGAGUGGAAAGUUCACACUGUGACGGUAUCUUACCAGAAAGGGGCGGCUAACUACGU
rnacentral:rRNA from 1 species